rnacentral:rRNA from 1 species
UACGUAGGGUGCGAGCGUUGUCCGGAAUUACUGGGCGUAAAGAGCUCGUAGGUGGUUUGUCGCGUUGUUCGUGAAAUCUCACGGCUUAACUGUGAGCGUGCGGGCGAUACGGGCAGACUAGAGUACUGCAGGGGAGACUGGAAUUCCUGGCGUAGCGGUGGAAUGCGCAGAUAUCAGGAGGAACACCGGUGGCGAAGGCGGGUCUCUGGGCAGUAACUGACGCUGAGGAGCGAAAGCGUGGGGAGCGAACAGG